rnacentral:rRNA from 1 species
ACAAGCAGUGGGAGCACAGGUUUACCUGUGUGACUGCGUACCUUUUGUAUAAUGGGUCAGCGACUUAUAUUCUGUAGCAAGGUUAACCGAAUAGGGGAGCCGGAGGGAAACCGAGUCUUAAUUGGGCGUUAAGUUGCAGGGUAUAGACCCGAAACCCGGUGAUCUAGCCAUGGGCAGGUUGAAGGUUGGGUAACACUAACUGGAGGACCGAACCGACUAAUGUUGAAAAAUUAGCGGAUGACCUGUGGCUGGGGGUGAAAGGCCAAUCAAACCGGGAGAUAGCUGGUUCUCCCCGAAAGCUAUUUAGGUAGCGCCUCGUGAAUUCAUCUCCGGGGGUAGAGCACUGUUUCGGCUAGGGGGCCAUCCCGGCUUACCAACCCGAUGCAAACUGCGAAUACCGGAGAAUGUUAUCACGGGAGACACACGGCGGGUGCUAACGUCCGUCGUGAAGAGGGAAACAACCCAGACCGCCAGCUAAGGUCCCAAAGUCAUGGUUAAGUGGGAAACGAUGUGGGAAGGCCCAGACAGCCAGGAUGUUGGCUUAGAAGCAGCCAUCAUUUAAAGAAAGCGUAAUAGCUCACUGGUCGAGUCGGCCUGCGCGGAAGAUGUAACGGGGCUAAACCAUGCACCGAAGCUGCGGCAGCGACACUGUGUGUUGUUGGGUAGGGGAGCGUUCUGUAAGCCUGUGAAGGUGGCCUGUGAGGGUUGCUGGAGGUAUCAGAAGUGCGAAUGCUGACAUAAGUAACGAUAAAGCGGGUGAAAAGCCCGCUCGCCGGAAGACCAAGGGUUCCUGUCCAACGUUAAUCGGGGCAGGGUGAGUCGACCCCUAAGGCGAGGCCGAAAGGCGUAGUCGAUGGGAAACAGGUUAAUAUUCC